CGGAUUCUGGCUCAGGAUGAACGCUAGCGGCAGGCUUAACACAUGCAAGUCGAGGGGCAUCGGGAGUAGCAAUACUGCCGGCGACCGGCGCAAGGGUGCGUAACGCGUGAGCAACAUGCCCGUAUCAGGGGGAUAAUCCAUGGAAACGUGGUCUAAUACCCCAUAGUAAUUAUGUAAGGCAUCUUAUAUAAUUUAAAGCUUUGGUGGAUACGGAUUGGCUCGCGUGACAUUAGCUGGAUGGUAAGGUAACGGCUUACCAUGGCUACGAUGUCUAGGGGUUCUGAGAGGAAGGUCCCCCACACUGGAACUGAGACACGGUCCAGACUCCUACGGGAGGCAGCAGUGAGGAAUAUUGGACAAUGGAUGGAAAUCUGAUCCAGCCAUGCCGCGUGCAAGGGAAGACGGCCCUAUGGGUUGUAAACUGCUUUUGUAUGGGAGCAAUAAGGGCUACGUGUAGUCCGAUGAGAGUACCAUACGAAUAAGCACCGGCUAACUCCGUGCCAGCAGCCGC
rnacentral:rRNA from 1 species